AGCUCCAAUAGCGAAUAUUAAAGUUGUUGCGGCCAACCCGCUCGUAGUUGGAUUUCUGCCGAGGACGACCGGUCCGCCCUGCGGGUGAGUAUCUGGGACGACGUGGGCAUAUUAUUGGAGAACGUGUCUGCACUUGACUGUGUGGUGCGGUAUCCAGGAGUUUUAUUUGGAGGGAAUUAAAGUGUUUCAAGCAGGCACACGCCUUGAAUUCAUUAGCAUGGACUAAUAAGAUAUGACCUCGGUUCUACUUUGUUGGUUUCUAGAGCUGAGGUAAUGAUCAAUAGAGAUAGUUUGGCGGAUUCGUAUUUAAUUGUCAGACGUGAAAAUCUUGGAUUUGUUAGAGAUGGACUAUUGCGAAAUCAUUUGCCAAUGAUGUUUUCAUUG
rnacentral:rRNA from 1 species